AGAGUUUGAUCCUGGCUCAGAACGAACGCUGGCGGCGUGGAUAAGACAUGCAAGUCGAACGGGAUAACAUCUGUAGCAAUACAGGUGUUAUUUAGUGGCGAACGGGUGCGUAACACGUGGGGAAUCUGCCGAGAAGUGGGGGAUAGCUCGCCGAAAGGCGAAUUAAUACCGCAUAUGGUCAGUGAAGACAUCUUCACAACACCAAAGCCGGGGCAACCUGGCGCUUUUUGAUGACCCCGCGGCCUAUCAGCUAGUUGGUGAGGUAACGGCUCACCAAGGCUAUGACGGGUAGCUGGUCUGAGAGGACGACCAGUCACACUGGAACUGAGACACGGUCCAGACACCUACGGGUGGCAGCAGUCGAGAAUUUUUCUCAAUGGGGGAAACCCUGAAGGAGCGACGCCGCGUGGAGGAUGAAGGCUUUCGGGUUGUAAACUCCUGUCAUUUGGGAACAAGGUGCAUCGAUUAACUGUCGAUGCAUUGAUAGUACCAGAAGAGGAAGAGACGGCUAACUCUGUGCCAGCAGCCGCGGUAAUACAGAGGUCUCAAGCGUUGUUCGGAUUCAUUGGGCGUAAAGGGUGCGUAGGUGGCGGGGUAAGUCAGGUGUGAAAUUUCGGAGCUUAACUCCGAAACUGCAUUUGAUACUGCCUUGCUUGAGGACUGGAGAGGAGACUGGAAUUUACGGUGUAGCAGUGAAAUGCGUAGAUAUCGUAAGGAAGACCAGUGGCGAAGGCGGGUCUCUGGACAGUUCCUGACACUGAGGCACGAAGGCUAGGGGAGCAAACGGGAUUAGAUACCCCCGUAGUCC
rnacentral:rRNA from 1 species